rnacentral:lncRNA from 1 species
UCUGGUAGUGCCAUAGAUGGAGCAGAGUGAAGCAAGAUAAAGCCUGUUGAUUUUUCAAUUCUUGUAGUUUUCCUAAGCUUGCAGGCCUUCAGAUUUAGAGUGGAAAUAUACUGUCAUCUCUCCUGUGUCUCCAGCUUUCCAUGUGACCAUAGAACCUCUCAGACUCCAUAAUCAUAGAAAACUCCAAGUAUUUUUUGCAAGGAAAAGUUGAUGAUACUGAUGAUGAUGGUGAUGGUGAUGGUGGUACUGAUUAGAGUGCUGAUGGUAGUAGUCCUGUAACUUGAACAAGGUUACAGGACAAGUAGAAUAUGGCAGAGAUGGAAUUUGAACCCAAGCAAUCAAAUUCAAAAGACUAUACUCUAAAGCAAUGGCACUCAGGGAGUGAUCCAUCAGUGCCUGUGCACAACAAGGUCCACAACCUGGCAUUUAGUGGUAGGCCUGGAGCUGCUCUUGGUCAACAGUGUCAGAAGUUGGGAAGAAGAGCUGCAUAUCAAGCAGAAGAGAAUGAGAAGAAACAGGAACCCACUUCUGCAUCUGUCUAUAGCAACAUCUGACUAUAACGACCUUCAAAAGAUAAUGGCUGUUGCUUCAUUUCCAACCCUCCAAAUCUCAAGCAAGUAUAUCUUUGGGCCAACUGUAACCUAUAACUCUAUAGGGAAGAGGUUUCUGAGAACUCUGUGUCACAGCUUAACCAUACAAAGACAAUACAAACCAUCCCGAUGAUGAUGAUGGUUGGUAAUAAUGAAGAAAAUAAUAUGAGUGUUUUCUCAAGGAAGGCUACUUCUUGAUGGCAGUUCUGGGAGACAUAAGAGAAGUUUUAUUUUUACCCAAAUGGUUGGUAAAUAAAUUACUGUGUGACAUGACAGAGUUCAAGUUAUAUGAUAUAGUAGAUUCACAUUAUGCCAAAAACUAUAAGACUCCCAGACACAGCCCAGGAAUUCAUUUUGAGAGCUAUCAUAGGCUUCUGAAUGUGCUACCAUCUAUGCUCUUAAUUUAAACCUUAAUUUGCUGUGUGGACGACAGACUACUCUGAAAACAACCCCAAAUGCUUCAGUGCAGGACUAUGUGUCGUGGAUAAAGUAACAAAAUUACAUAUUCAACCCAUUAUGGCCAUCCUCUUGUAUGGAAGAUGUAGAUUGUUACCAAUAUUUAACUCUUAUAAUUAACUUGAAUAAAUUUCCUUACAAAAUAAAUAUGUACACUUGUAAAUAUUCCAUUAUAGUAUCUUUCUUAGUGUAGAUAUCCUGGAGUAAAAGAAAAAUAUUUACAAAACAAGGUAACAAUUUUUAAAGCAAAAUAUCUAUUAUCAAAUUGUUCUCCAGAUAGGUAUUACCAAUUACACACCCACCAGCCCAGCAGUGUGAAAAUAUCACAUCUCCCACACCCCCAUCCACACCCACGUGGAAAAUUAUUAUUAAAAAUUAAUUUUUACCAACUUGAGAGGGAAAUGGUCCUAUUUUAAUUUUUUCAGGGGUGGAUUCAUAUGUUUACUAGAUAUGUAUAUGUAUCCUUCUAUGAGAUACUUGUUAGGUUAUUUCCCAUUUCUGUGUUGUGGCAUUAAUUUCUUUUUCUUGUUAAUAAUGCUCCCGAAGUUUUAUGUCAGUCUUUUCAUUUGUUUAUAGUAUUUUAUGGCAAAGGAUUUUCUUAAUUAAGUGGUUGUAGUCAAAUCUGCUAGUUUUUAUCUUUGUUUUCAGUUUGCAAUGUCAUGUAUAGACAUGCCUAUCUACCACCGAAAGUAUUUUAAAAAGCAAUGUGUAGGUUUUCUACUUUUGAAGAAUGUGCGUUUUCUACUUUUGAAGUAUGUGCAUUUUCUACCAAAGUCUUUAGUUUGUUUGAUAUGUGCAAUGAAGAAAAAUAUCUAACAAUACCUUAACUUUUCUCGAAUAAUAUUCCAAUUAUCCUAAUAUCCUUUGUGACUUAAACUUCCUAUUCUGACUUAAAAAGACUUUUAUCAUAAGUGCUCUACUUAAUCAUAGCCUUAGCACAUAGUGUGAGUCCUAGAGUCAGACUACAAGGUAAUUACUGUCACUUACAAGCUGUGUGACCUUAAGUGAUUUAAUUUAAUCAUCCUGUGACUAAGUUUUCUAAUCUGUAAAAUUGGAAUAAUGUGAGGAUAAAAUUAUCAUAAGGAUUAGCAAGCUGAAUUAACACGUGUAACGCUCAUAGACGACUGCCUGGCACAUAGUGAAUACUCAGGAAAUAUUACUGGUUGUUGUGUAGCGAGGUGUAUAAUGAAACACUGGUACAAUUUCAGAUUUUGGGUUUUGAGGACCGGGCUUAGAGGGUCACCUUGGGGAGAAUCUUGUAGAGUCCCACAUCUACCCUCUGCCUCAAUGAGAUACGAUCCUCCACUUUGAUGAGAUACUACCACUUGGAGAACUUGCUACAUGUCAAUCCCUGCUAUGG